rnacentral:rRNA from 1 species
UACGUAGGUGACCAGCGUUGUCCGGAGUUACUGGGCGUAAAGCGCGGGCAGGCGGCUCGUGAAGUCUGAUGUGAAAGCGCCCGGCUCAACCGGGCGAGGCCAUUGGAAACUCUCGAGCUGGAGGGCAGUAGAGGCAGGCGGAAUUCCGGGUGGAGUGGUGAAAUGCGCAGAUAUCAGGAGGAACACCAAUUGCGAAGGCAGCUCGCUGGGACGUUACUGACGCUGAGACGCGAAAGCGUGGGGAGCAAACAGG